rnacentral:tRNA from 1 species
GCGGCUAUGGCGAAUUGGUAGACGCACUUGGUUUAGGUCCAAGCGGGUGACCGUGGGGGUUCGAGUCCCUCUAGCCGCACCA